UGGGGAAUAUUGGACAAUGGGCGCAAGCCUGAUCCAGCCAUGCCGCGUGAGUGAUGAAGGCCCUAGGGUUGUAAAGCUCUUUCACCGGUGAAGAUAAUGACGGUAACCGGAGAAGAAGCCCCGGCUAACUUCGUGCCAGCAGUCGCGGUAAUACGAAGGGGGCUAGCGUUGUUCGGAUUUACUGGGCGUAAAGCGCACGUAGGCGGACUAUUAAGUCAGGGGUGAAAUCCCGGGGCUCAACCCCGGAACUGCCUUUGAUACUGGUAGUCUUGAGUUAGAGAGAGGUGAGUGGAAUUCCGGGUGUAGAGGUGAAAUUCGUAGAUAUUCGGAGGAACAACAGUGGCGAAGGCGGCUCACUGGCUCGAUAAUGACGCUGAGGUGCGAAAGCGUGGGGAGCAAACAGG
rnacentral:rRNA from 1 species